GCCCGAGUGGCGGAAUUGGUAGACGCAGGGGAUUCAAAAUCCCCCGCCUAACGGCUUGUCGGUUCGAGUCCGACCUCGGGUACCA
rnacentral:tRNA from 1 species